UACGUAGGUGACAAGCGUUAUCCGGAAUCAUUGGGUUUAAAGGGUCCGUAGGCGGGUCAAUCAGUCAGUGGUGAAAGUCUGCAGCUUAACUGUAGAAUUGCCAUUGAUACUGUUGACCUUGAGUAAUUAUGAAGUGGUUAGAAUAUGUAGUGUAGCGGUGAAAUGCAUAGAUAUUACAUAGAAUACCGAUUGCGAAGGCAGAUCACUAAUAAUUUACUGACGCUGAGGGACGAAAGCGUAGGUAGCGAACAGG
rnacentral:misc_RNA from 1 species